AGGAAGAGCGGUAAGCCCGUUGUAGGCCGUUCCAGGUGUUCCCUUCCAUCGUGUGGGCCAUAGCCUGGGCAUUUUAGUCUACGCGGCACGCUCUUCUU
rnacentral:sRNA from 1 species